GGCGUGGGUCGGUUACGUCCUCGCGACAACUGCGAGUCCGCCCUUCCCGGGGUCCCGGCGAGGUGUGGGGCGGGGUGGGCGCCGACCCGCCCGAGGUCAUCCGCGCCCCGCCGGGGAGGCCCUGGGACCCCGCGGCAGGCGGGGGCGGGGCCUUCUGCGUCCACGUAGCCCCGGAGGCGGAGCGCUCGGCCGCGCCGCCGUCCGCCCAGCCCGGGUUUGCGUUCUUGUGCGGUGGCCCUGGGGGGCUCGCGGGGUGCCCCGUGCGCGGUUCAUGGGAGCGGGCCCCGCCGCCGGGUGCCCGAGAGUGGCGGAGUGACGUGUCCGGCUUCUCCCGUCGCCGGCCGGGCGCGCGCUGAGCCCUGGGCUGGGCUGCUCACUGUUGGGGCUGUUGCUGUCCCCGCCCCCCGCCCUUGAUUUUAUACCAGAUUGAUGUCAAAACGAUGUGAGGAGGCUUGCCGAGAUAUGAAAGCAAACGUCCCCCCGACUUUUUUUUUUCCUUUUUGGCAUUUUCUCAUAAAGUCUCAAAACUGCCUUGCCGCUGCCAGUUGCCCUGUUAAAAAUCGGUAUUCCUCUGCAGUUUGCCCACUUCAGCAACCUCCGCCAAAUGCCUACUGUGUGCCAGUCGCUGCUCGGGGCUCUAAGCUGCCUGGGUCACGUGUGGGAAAGAGGCGACUCUAAACCUGGUUAAGGUAUCAAGGAGAGCCAGGAAGUACUCACCUUCAAGAUCAGGCCGAUGGGACUGUAUAUGUGCAUAAGUUUAUUAUGAGUGUCGCUGAUAGCAAGCCUGGGCAGCACACCGACUACAAAGAAUGGUAAACAGCAGUCUUGCUCCUAAAUCUCUUAGAGCCCACUGGUGCUCGGAGAAUGCUUUUGCUUGCUUUCGCUGGGCUCUUGUACCCUGGCCAACCUGCAGUUGAAAGUCUCCCCGUGAUCUGGCAAAUUGAGUUGCCUCCCAACCUACUAUUUCCCCAACAAACUUAUCAGUAAAUGUAAUCUGUGAUAUGAACCUGGUUGAUGUUAUGUUAAUAAGCAAGACAGAAAGGAAGCCAGAAAGACCUCAGGAUUUCAUCAAUGAUGUGAGCAACUCCUUUGCCAAAUUUGAUCGUGGUUUACAGAUCCAGUUUUUCCUCAAGGUUUUAUGGUGUUUAUAGGGUUUUAUGGUGUUUACAAUAUAAAGGCUACAGACUUAACAUAAAGUUAAGUCUGACUACAUUGUUAAUUUUCACUAUUACUUUCUUAAGUCUAGAUUGGGGGUUCGGUCAGAUGGCAAAUAUUUUAGGCCCUGCCAGACACGUAUAAUCUCUGUCGCAUAUUCUUUGUUUUGUUUUAUCUACCCCCCUUUUCAACCUCCAAGCUCUGAACUAUACAAUUUUCAGAUUCCCACAACUUAAAGAUUCCUCUGAUGGCCAAUUUCAGGCUACCAACGUGGAGUGUCUGAGUGCAGGUUGAGAAUGCUAUUUCCAGCAUAUGGAUCCAAUAGAUGUAAAUAAUCUCAAGAGCGUAGACCAUGGUAGGAUAAUCGGGAGGUAAUGUAUUUUGAGACCUUGUUGUCAAUAGUACUGAUUUUACUGUAAAUUUAUAUCAUUUAACUUUCGAUAAUAUCUGUUUCAGAAUUCCCGAAAAUUUAACAUUUGGUUCUCAUGAGCCAGCUCCAGCUUGGCACUGGUCUUACCUCUAAGUGGAGAUGGGGGUGGGUAAGUUAGGCUUCUGGGUUGGUGGGCAAUGUUCAGUUUCUUCACCUGGGUGCCACUUAGGCACACCCCAAGGGGACCCGCAGUGAGUCCACAGCCUGUAUCAUUGCCCCACUUCUGAAUGUGGACUGGACCGGUCAAUGUGCUUCUAAUCGAUAAUAGAAUUUGGUGAGAGGAGUAAGAUGUCCCUCCCUUGACAAUAUCAUGUCGUAUGUGAAGGAUGAUGGAUGUCACGCCCAUCAUGCUCAUGUUCCUGGGGUGACUGGACGCAGACUCUCCUGCUGGCCUUGCAGGAGCAAACAGCCAAGUGAAGACCAUGUGGCAGGAGACUGUGGGCAGCCUCUGGGACCUGAGGGUGGCCUCCAGCCAGCAGCCAGGAAGAAGCUGGGGCUCUCGGUCAUGCAGUCACAAGGAUCUGCAUCUGCUGGCGACCUGAAUGAGCUUGAAAGGGCCGCACCUCCAGGUGAGAACAAAGCUCAGCCUGUACCUGGGUUAUAGCCCCGUGAGACCCUGAGUGGGACCCAGCGAAAGCCGAGCCCUGGUUCCUACCCCACGGAAGCGGAGGUAAGUGCAUUUUUUAAGUUCCCAAAUUUGUGGUCAUUUGUUAAACUGCAGCAGAAAGUGAACACAUCAUUAUUCGUGAGAUUUAUGCACCUUUCUGUGUGUGUGUUACAUUUCUCAAUUUUAAAAGGUUGCAGGGAGGAAAUGUACACAUUACACAAUAAAAAUAGCAGGAAAGAACUGUACACACGUGUUGGCCAGAAUGCUCUUGGACAGUGUGACUCUGAGGAAGCUGACGGUGGGUUUCCAUUUGGGUUUUUUUUCUUUCCCCCUAAUGACUCACUGUCCUCAUUGCAUGGCCUGUCCACACUGAAGUGAGCGUGAGGUCAAGAGCUAGCCUCGUUUUCACCUCUGUGCUAGAGCUCCCCGCCUGCCUGUGUGUCUCAACACGUCCCCAUGUGCCCCACCUCUAAAGCACAGAUGACCGUAGUACCUGCCUCGGGGCACAGCUGGACAAGAUUCGGUGAGGCAGACGUUGUCAGUGGACCAUGUUCUGUGGCCUUCGUCCCUUGCAGCCCUUACCCGUUAUGGAGCCAUCACAGGGCAGGGGGCCAACCCCAGCUCUGCACCCAGGGGGGUGUAUCCUGUGCACGACACACCAAGGCCAAACAGCAAGCCAUCAUUCACCGAGACAAGUCUUCGUUUCCCAGGGAGCAGGCCUGUUAUCUGUGGGCCAGCAUUUGGAUUGUCCUGUUGCAGAGGGAAAUGGCUUUUUUGUCCAGAUGCUGCGGCCCCUAUCAGGCACAAGGAGCAACAGUCCUCGAUUUUUAUGCCUCCGAAUGGAAGCACAUUCUUUUUCAUAAAAAUUUAAUUUAAAAAUAGAAAGAAAGGGGGAAAAGCCGGCACAAAGAACACUGGAGGGCCAUCCGUUCGCGUGAGGGCGGAAGUCCAUCCAAAACAAGUGCAUCAUAUUAGCUUGGAAAAUCAGAUGAAUAAAGAGACAACAAUUCAUUGGAAAGGCAUCAUCCUUGGCCCAGCAAUAUAGGGAGCGUACUUCAAAGUACAGAAUUAGGCGCACCUCGGACACGGCGAUCGUCUUGUGAAUCUGAAACAGGCUUUCUUGCCCCCCAGCUGAAGCAGAGACCAGAAGGUGGCCAAGCCUCUGACCUACCUUCACAGUGCGGCACAGAACGCAAUGCUGCAUUGCAGCGCUCUCUGCUGCGAAAUGAUCUUCCAUCCGGGGCAAUAAACAAGACCAUCUAACCUCCUCGAUGAUCACACCUUCCACCUUACGAGGCGUGAGUGCUGCUGCCAGCUUCCCAAAACAUUGCCAAGAAUAACACCUUGAAGAUUCGACGGUCCUAGUUUUUGCUUGCAUGCCCAGGUUUAUUCUAAAUAUCCUCCAGGACCUGCAUUUGCUACUCUUGGUGUGGUAAGAAAACGCUUGCCAGGGAGGAUUUCCAACCUGGGACUGUGGUCACGUGCGUUUAGAGGCGGGUGAGAAACAGGCAGCCGCUCCCUGUGGCCUGGAGUCCGUGACGUCCAAUCUCAUUUUGUCUUGCUGCGUUUGGCUCCAUCUUCUUCCCUGUUCAGACCUCAGAGAAUUUCUCGUCGCACUCCUACACUUGGGACAGCAGUGGUCUCUAACCACCUCCCGAGGAUGGAUGAGAAGGUGAAACUGCAGGGGUCCUGGAGAAGAUCGUGCACUCUUAGCAAACUCUUGUAGAGAUACACGCUGAGUUACCGGAAAUGAUAUAAUGCCUGAGAUUUGCUCCAAAAUAAUUCAGGAGGAUUUGGGUGGCUUAUUGAUGAAACAAGCCUGACCGGACGCUGAUCCUUGUGGAGGCUGGGCGACGGGUCCAUGGAGAUUUAUUUUCUUAUUCUGUCCUCUUCUGUGCAUGUUUGAUGUGUUUCCAUAUUUCAAAGUUUGCAAAGAUGCACUUAAGAGUCUCUCAAAAGAGCUGAAUUGGUGGAGUCCUCCAGUGGUCACUGACGAAAUGAGGUUGGAAUGAGGCAGUGCUACAUAUUGUUUCUGCCCGCUCAGCACACACUCCCCCUCCCAGACCUGGGCCCAGAGCCCCUGCCAGCCAAUCAGCCGCCGUGUCCUGGGCAUUCCUGCCCCGCUCGGCUGGCCUGGGAUGGUACAAGAAGGGGAGAAGCCUGAGCUGAUCGAUCCCCACAGGCCCCCACCUCCCCACCCCACCCCCGGCCGAGAGAGCAGCCUUGAGGUGAUGCUGCUAUAAAUCCCCAGGGCAGCUGACUCCCGCCCUUUCCGGAAACCUGCAUCUUGGCUUUUUUGGUUCUGUGAACUGCCCAGCAACACGCCGAUAAAUUCCCUUCGUGUUUAAGUUGGCCGGCGUUUGUUUCCGUGGCUGAAGACCAAAGCCACCCCAGGGCAGAAACAGCGCAUGGCUCGCCAGACACUGCAUGUUCCUUUGGCCUCUGCACCGCCCUCCCGCGGUGGAUUCAGCUCCGGGCGCAGGCCCCUUGGACACUGCGACUUGCACAAGGCGAUCUGACAAGUAAGAGAGGAAGGAAUACACACGACACAGAGACACCAAAUUGAGAGCUAGGAGCCCUCGCUCUGCUCAAACACAAAUCAAAAGCAUCGUCACGAAGACAAAAACAUUGAUUGGACCAAGGAAGUGUCACUGGCCUCUAACACACCAUCCGGCAGAAAUAUAAUGUGAGGCACAAAUGCAAUUUUAAAUUUUCUAGGAGCUGCGUUAAAAUGGUGAAAAGAAGGCGCCUGGGUGGCUCAGUUGGUUAAGUGACUGCCUUCGGCUCAGGUCAUGAUCCUGGAGUCCCGGGAUCGAGUCCCACAUCGGGCUCCCUGCUCGGCGGGGGGUCUGCUUCUCCCUCUGAC